rnacentral:rRNA from 1 species
GCUUGUCUCAAAGAUUAAGCCAUGCAUGUCUAAGUGUAAAUACGUCUACACUGUGAAACUGCGAAUGGCUCAUUAAAUCAGUUAUCGUUUAUUUGAUGAUCUCUCGUUACAUGGAUAACCGUAGUAAUUCUAGAGCUAAUACAUGCAUCAGACCCCGACUGUUUGGAAGGGGUGUAUUUAUUAGAUGGAAACCGAUGCGGGGUAACCCGGAUUUUGGUGAUUCAUAAUAACUUUCGGAUCGAUCGCAAGAUCGAUGCAUCAUUCAAGUUUCUGCCCUAUCAGCUUUGGAUGGUAGGGUAUUGGCCUACCAUGGCUUUAACGGGUAACGGAGAAUUAGGGUUCGAUUCCGGAGAGGGAGCCUGAGAAAUGGCUACCACAUCCAAGGAAGGCAGCAGG